rnacentral:rRNA from 1 species
GACGAACGCUGGCGGCGUGCUUAACACAUGCAAGUCGAACGGAAAGGCUCCAGCUUGCUGGAGUGCUCGAGUGGCGAACGGGUGAGUAACAAGUGGGCAAUCUGCCCUGCACUCUGGGAUAAGCCUGGGAAACUGGGUCUAAUACCGGAUAGGACCUUUCUCCUCAUGGGGUUUGGUGGAAAGUUUUUCGGUGCAGGAUGAGCCCGCGGCCUAUCAGCUUGUUGGUGGGGUAAUGGCCUACCAAGGCGACGACGGGUAGCCGGCCUGAGAGGGUGAUCGGCCACAUUGGUACGGAGAUACGGCCCAGCCCCCUACGGGAGGCAGCAGUGGGGAAUAUUGCACAAUGGGCGAAAGCCUGAGGCAGCGACGCCGCGUGAGGGAGGACGGCCUUCGGGUUGUAAACCUCUUUCAGUAGGGACGAAGCGCAAGUGACGGUACCUGCAGAAGAAGCACCGGCUAACUACGUG